CAGGGUGGGAGCUCCCGCCCUGCUCCUCCCCUUUCCCUUCCUCCCCCUUCCUUCCAAACCUCCCUCCUCGAGGUGCCCCCUUCCCCCGGCUUCCCCUUUCAUUCCCUCUCUCCCCGACUCCCUCGUCCCACCCGACGCCGGGUCCCCCUCCAGUCCCUGCCUCCACCUCUCCCGCCCCUCGCUCUCCUCCUCUCCCGCCCCCUCUCUUCUCGACCCCCCUCGCCUCCCUCUGCCCCCUCCCCCUACCUCCCCGGCUCCGCCCCCUGCCCCCCUCCUCCGUGGCCCUCCGCGCGCCUCAACGCCCCGCGGCGGAGCGCGUCUCGGGCGCGGCAGACCAGCCAUGGCUCUCGGCGAGCUGCUCGUGCUGCUGCUCCUGGCCGGGGACUUCGCAGCGGUCUCUUUGGUCUCGGCGUCCUGGCAUCAUAAGCAGGGAAACUACAGAUCAGAAAGAAGGUCAUGAUAUUAAAAUUGUCCGAGAUGAACCAUGCUAAUGGGACAGUUCACAGAAAAGAUGGACAAGACACCUUAAAAUGAGCAUAUUAGAUGAAUUCCAGCUUUCCCAUUUUCCCUUUUCCUAUGUUUCUUUGCAUGAGAUUUGUUAAACAUUUCCUGACAGGAGGUGUGGAAGAGAGCCUUGUAUAUUAACUAUGUCAAAAUAAAAACUUGCUUCUUGGCUUUUGCCCCUUGCCUUAAGCUAAUUUCCCGGAUUACUUAUUCAUUGCUUUAUUUAGUUAGAAUGAUACCAGCACUGUAUUCAGUCACUAUUGUUUUGUGUUGAGAAUAUAAUUUUCACUCAGC
rnacentral:lncRNA from 1 species